GUGUAAUAGUAGCAGUGGACAGUGUAGUAAUAGCAGUGAACAGUGUAUUAGAAGCAGGUCAGUGUGUGUAAUAGUAGCAGUGGACAUUGUAGUAAUAGCAGUGAACAGUGUAUUAGAAGCAGGUCAGUGUGUGUAAUAGUAGCAGUGGACAGUGUAGUAAUAGCAGUGAGCAGAUUGAUGGGUGGCUUCUGGGCGAUUCCGGUUAUCCUCUUCGACCGUGGCUUUUAAGUUGAGUUUUAACACCAGUCAAUCGUCCAAGUUGCCGGGGAGAAGAUCGAUAUAACCGGUCACACAGAAGAUCAAGGGUUGUCGUGGAGCAAGCCUUUGGCGUUUUAAAAUCUCGCUUCAGAUGUCUGCAUAAAACAGGAGGGGUUUUGGAUCAUCAACCUACAAAGUGUUGCAAGAUUAUCUUUGUCUGUUGCCAGCUACACAAUAUCUGUAUCGACAAGCAUCUUCCAGUUAGUGAUAUUCCAGAAGAACUGCCCGAAGACGAAAAUGAUGUUGUGUACCAGGGUCCGGUCAAUGACGGUAAAUCAACCAGAGACCAACUAAUCAGGCAACGGUUCUCUUAGAUGCUCUCCGUCACUUGGAGACUUUGGCAGAGUAAGAGUGGCAGCAGGACCCCCAGGCAAAGCAUGGGAUGGGCCAGGAGAUUGUGAAGGCACAUGGCUGGGAACAACAGCU